rfam:Sorghum bicolor cultivar BTx623 chromosome 2, whole genome shotgun sequence.
UCUCUGUGAUGAGCAAACAGAUGACGAGUCCGAUCGAAUCCAUUCCAUUACACCAUGGGGACAACCGAGGCAUUUGUCUGAGAGAA